AUAUAUAUAUAUUAUGAGUAUAUUUUAGCCCAUUCAUUCUGCAAUGGAAGCCAGGUGUAUAUAGUUGAUAUACAACUCCUUCUUUAAUAUACAACCACCGUCAUUUAAAAUGAUUAAAUAAGCUAGAAAAUAGUAUAUGAACAAGAUGAUAUGAAAGUGAAUAAAAUGAAUAAUAAGCAAGAGUUAUGUAUCGGCACGAAGAAGGAUUUCUAGAAAGCUGCACGAUGGUUUUAGGACUGUAUGGACUGCCGUUCUUUUGCCUACAUUCGACAAUAAAUUUGCACAUAUACUACAAAAUUUUUCUGGAUCUCCCUACACCAAAUCUUCCUCAGCUCAGAAUAACGUUCUGCCCGGCUCCAUCCAUGAUCACACUCAGUGUGAUACUGUAACCAAUUACUAAAUACCGACGGUGCCCAAGUUUGAAUUUUCUCAGUGUUUUUUUUUUUACAGAGAACUUUCGGUCGGCUUUCAAGAUCGUCACGAGGUAUCUCCUGAAAACGUUUUGAUGGUAGUUCGGCGGAUAAUUUUGACCUCUU